UGGGGAAUUUUGGACAAUGGGGGAAACCCUGAUCCAGCCAUCCCGCGUGUGCGAUGAAGGCCUUCGGGUUGUAAAGCACUUUUGGCAGGAAAGAAACGUCAUGGGUUAAUACCCCGUGAAACUGACGGUACCUGCAGAAUAAGCACCGGCUAACUACGUGCCAGCAGCCGCGGUAAUACGUAGGGUGCAAGCGUUAAUCGGAAUUACUGGGCGUAAAGCGUGCGCAGGCGGUUCGGAAAGAAAGAUGUGAAAUCCCAGAGCUCAACUUUGGAACUGCAUUUUUAACUACCGGGCUAGAGUGUGUCAGGGGGAGGUGGAAUUCCGCGUGUAGCAGUGAAAUGCGUAGAUAUGCGGAGGAACACCGAUGGCGAAGGCAGCCUCCUGGGAUAACACUGACGCUCAUGAACGAAGGCGUGGGGAGCAAACAGG
rnacentral:rRNA from 1 species